UACAUUUCCUUAGCUUAUUGAACAUAACAAUGUACUUCUGACAUUAUUCACAAAAGCCCAUUACUUGAUUUUGGGGAAGAAGCUAUUAUGAUUUUUAUCUUAAGUAAUCUAGUAAGUGAAAAUAGCACUUUCAUUUUCUCUUUCCAUUAUUUCAUCAUACUAUUCAGUAUAAUCUAUGCUUUAUUUUAAAACAGUUAAUUUGGUUAAUUGUUCAGAUGGCUUCCUAUGCACCUUUUUCCAAAUAGCAUCUUUUAAACUUGGUCUAAAAAUAUGAAGUAGCAUUUUAGGCCUUAGAUUUCUUCUUAGUUUCAGAAAUAAAUGACAUUUAAAAUGUCUAUAGUAGUUUGUAUGGUGUAUUUUAAUCAGAAGUAAUUAAAUGUUGAUACUUUCAAAAAUGGUUGGAUUUCAUACAGUAAGAUUCACCCUUAGUGUCCAGUUUAGUGAGCUUUGACAAACAUAGAGUCACAUGGUCACUACCUCAGUCAAGAUACUAAGCAGUAUUACCACCUCCAAACCUCUACUUUCCAAUCUCUGUUUAGUCUUCCCUUCCCCACUUUCCCAAAUGAUGUUAUCUAUUGAUCUUGGACCUUUUUUUGGUAUUUCUAAAUUUCAAAACAAGCUAAUUAGAUGGUAACAAUGGUUAAUACAUCGUGUAUUGUUAUCUUUAAAUUAGUUACUCGGAGUACCAGAUACCUGCAUUUACUUGUCUUGGGCUAUUUUUAGAGGUCGGAAAUAAAGCUAUUAUUGUAGUAAGAAUGUCUGAUACUUACUAAGUACUCCCUAUGUGCAAAAUGUGUGAAGAGUACUUACCAUAAUUCUCUGACUUGGUCUUGUACAGCCACAGAAGCUGUGGGAAACCAGAGCUCAGAGAGUUCAGCCAUGCAUCCGAGGUACUGGGGCUGGUUGCUGUACCUCACUUGACUAUGGCUAAACUUCCCCCUCCCCCAAGUUACACUGACCUCUUAAAUGUUCUGUGUAAGUAAAGGAGAAUUGAUGACUUGGAAGCCCUGAUUUGAUCUUCUCCUUUGAAUGUGAAGAAUGUUGGAGGGGGAAAGAGAACCUUUACUUCUGCUGGCAGAAGAAACUGACAGAUAAUACAGCUCUGCAGCUGUCUCAUCACCUGUUAUGACUGCUUGCCCAGGCCUUCCAGCUUCACAGUGACUAAUAGUCUGACCUUGUCCAAGGUGCCUACCUGCUUGUUCCAAGACUGUGAUAGUAUGUUGCAAGCCACUCUGGAAGCUACCUGCAGCUGUAAGAGUUGUGCGAAAGAUCCUGUUCCUGGGUGACUAAAGACUCUUCAGAAUGUGAGAGGUUCAUGCUGGGGCAGUUCACUGGACCACAGGAUCAGGCUGAGAUAACAGGCUGCCCUAGUAUCAGCAGAGAGAAGGAUUUCACUCUGCAUACAGUUAACUCCUAACAUCCCUGACUUGGGCAGUAUCUGCCUCCACAAAUGGGGUGACUUCUGGCAAGGGAGUAGACAGAAGUCCAGCCUGUCACUUUCCUUGCUAUCCUUAGUAGGUCAUCUUAGCUCUUGCUUUUGAAAAGUGCUUGAGCCCUUACCUGAGACUUGUAGAGUUGUCCUCCUGGUACGGUGUUGGGCUGCCUCUCCUCCUUCUUGUCCUUGUACUGUGAAUGCCACCCUCUCCACUCUUUUACAUCUUUUACUUUCUCCACCCGUUUGUGUCCCCCAUCAGCAUAUAAACAUGCUUAGGUUCUUAAAACCUAAGAAAGAUAGCACACACUUUCAGCUCUCUGCUCAACUUGCUCCUCACAUUCUCUCCAUUUGCAGCUGUAUCUUGAAAGCAGAGCUAUAAGCCCCCUUUUCAUCUCCUUUCCUUCCUUUUAUUCUUUACCCUCUCCUUCUAGUGGAUAGCAUCAAAGCUCUCUUGCCACAGUUAUAGGCCACCUUCUCCAUUCUGCGUCUGGUCCUUGAUAGCCUUUCCUUAGUCAUGGCUAUAUUAUCCACGGAUUCUUGAUGAUUUGGAAGUUGAUGUCUCCUACUCAGAUUUACUUGCACUGCCUGAGGUUCAGGUGUUUACUCAGUGUCCCUUCUAACAUGUCACCUGAACACUUCCCUGAAACAUGUUCAAAUCUGGCCUUUUAUCCUGAUCCUACCUCCUAGCCAGUCCUUUUUUGGAGUUAGUUUUGCAACUGGCUUUCUCCUUUGUUUGUGACCUUUGCAUUGAUCUGUAUGAAAGAGUAUUCUUUAAAAGGAGUGACAAGCUCUUAUUUUGUAAGAAAAAUUUACGUAUUUAUCUUUUUAAAGUAGUAUGAUUAGUUCUGAUAUGUGCUUCUUGCUAGAGUUUAGAUGAUGAAUGUCUCCCCAAGAUAUUAAAAUCAGCAUUACUUCAGUACUGCUGUUGGGAGGUGAGAUAACCUUUAAGAGGUGGGGCCCCGUGGGAGAUAUUUAGGUCAUGGAGGGUGUUCCUCUGAAGGGCAUUGUGGACUCAGCCUCUUCUCCCUUUUUUACUUGCCUUGAAAUGAGCAGUUUGCUCUGCCAGGAUGCGUACCUGCUGUUGCCAUUGAAGUAUGGCCACCGGAAUCUCAAAGCAUUGGAUUCUCCUGAUCUUGAAUUGGAACCUCCAGAAAUAAGAGCAGAAAAACUUUAGUUAUAUCAGAUGACAGUCUAAACUGUGGAACUAACUUUAGGAGAGGUACAGUUGACUCAAUAAACCUGUCAUGCUGAGGACAGACCUGAGGAAGGAAGAGAAAUGUGGUUAAAGGUUAUUCAGCUUUUUAAAACAGGAGCCCCUUGGAGACUUACAGUUUCCUCAGUAGAUUGCCUGGAAGUAACUGAAGAGUGAGAUAGGUAUGCUAUAAAAGGCUCUUCCUUCCCUGGCCCAGCCUUUUCCUGGUGCGUAACCUCUCUCUGUCCUUCUCAAUCCGGAUAUGCAUACAGCAUGGUCCUAUUUUGUUAAGAGCAUACAUCCUUUGUGUACUAAUGGAUUUAUCUUCUUUUCAGUUAGAGUCAUGUCUGAAGGGUCUUUUAAGUUUUUUGCUCUAUCUAGCUACAUAGCCAAUAGAUACAAGAAUUUCUUUUACUAGGCACAGCAGUAAUACAGAGUUUUAAUGCCCCCUCUUUUUGGUUAUUGUUUGUUUUUGGUCACAACGCGCUCUUCUGAUGGUAUAAAAAUGUAAAAACAUCUCUAAAUUAGUGGCAUAAACAAUGGCUAUUUUAUUAUGAGUGGAUUCUGUGGGUUGGCAGUUUGGACAGGCAUAUUAGAGAUGACUGAUCUCUAUUUGCCAAUGCCUGGGGCCUCAUCUGAGAAAAUUUGAAUAGGUAGAGUGACUCAAAUGCCUGGGAAAGGGGCUGGAGGGUCCACUUCCAAGAUGGUUUUGUCAUUUAUUUAUUGGCACCUCUGCGGGGAUAAUGGAAAGGUUGGAUUCAGCUGGGAAGCAGAGUGCCUGUAUGUGGUUCUCCAACAUGAUGAUCCCAGGUAUUUGAAUGUCCCCUAUUGUGAGCCUCUCAAAAAAAAAAAAAAACAAAAAAACAAAAAAACAAAAAAAACAGAUGAAGGCUGCCUGGCCUUUUCUAACCUACCCUUAGAAGUCACACUGAGUCACCUCCACUGGUUCUUUACUUAGGCGUAAGUCGUCGCCCAGUCCCAAUUAGAGGAGAGGAGAGUAGGACCCCCUUUGAUGAGGGAGUGGUAAGUUCACACUGAAAAAGAUCAUGUGGGAUGGGGGGACAGUAUAGUGUUCAUCUUGGAAACUUACAUAAAAAGGAAAUUGCAGGCAUCUUGAUUUUCAAUUUCAUAGCAACUGAUUGCUCUUUUCUUAUGUGAAUCAUUCAGAUGUUUCAUUGUUUAAAAUUUAGCAUUAGGUAGAAAAAAUAAUUGGAUGAGCACUGGAAUAGUCCACUCUUUACCUGAGUGUAUUUCUACCUAACAUAACUUAUAUAACUAUUUGAGUCAAAGGCGAACUGUUCAUCUCAGACUUAGUUCAGAUCCUUAGCCAGAGAAACUAAAAUAAAACUGUAAGAUUAUAGCAGAGUACUGUUAAGAAGAACAAAUUGUCAUCAUGAACUUUGCAAUCAACAAGAUAUUUAAACUAGGAAUAUGUGUAGUAUGACAAUCUCAUCAAUUAAGUAGUUUGCUUGAAAAGUUGUAUAUUGAUAAUUAGAGAAGACUUUGCUAGUCACAAAAUUUAAUUUUGGGGCAUAGUGAUGAAAUAAUUUCUUCCUUUCCUAUUUGUGACAGAUCACUCUUAUGAAAAUGCAGUUGAUUUACAAGAAUAAUAGAUAAAUCUAACAACUAAAUGGAUUAGAUAAUAUAUGAAAUUGCCCUUUAACAUUAACAACUGUACUGACUCUAAAUAGUAUUUCACAGAGAGAGAUGCUUAUUGAGUUCUGAACAACAACUCUGUAUUACUUUAGUGAAAGGGAAUGUCCACAGGGUAAAAGUUACAUAGCUUUGAGUUGGAGGAAAAAGACUGAGGUAUUAUUACUACCCAGGCAAAUUAUUUCACCUUGUUAGGUCUCAGUUUCUUCAUAUGUAAAGCUCAGGGUUUGAAUCUCUUCUACCUCUAUAAUAAUUCUUUGACAGUUGCUCUUUGUACUCUGUGUUGCACUGGAAUAAGGCCGUUAUAUGGCAGCUCAGAGUUAAUAUUAAAUAUGGGAAUACAAGGGUCAUUUGGUUAAGUUCCAGAAAGUUUAUAAAUCCUGAUCACUUUAUGUUUGGUGGCAUAUUAACCAAAAGUUAAAUGGAAAUACUUAAGAAAACUGAAUUAAAUAAAUUACUUAAAAAGUCUACAUAUUUAGAGUAUUUACCAAUGAUCACACUUAGAAAUGUUUUAGUUAAAAUUGUUAGCUUUAUUCAUUUGAACUCUAAAACUAUAUUCCACUCAUUUGGAUCCAGCAUCUAAAUUACUAAGUGAUAAUUGAGUAAGAAAUAGUAUAAUUGCAGUUCUGAGGCUUAAGCUUUUCUGAGCUUUAGUGAUGCUUCUGCAUACCAGAAGUCUGGAGUCUAGACAGUGCAUUAUUUUUGUAUAGUGUGGCCGUAAGAUUCUAAGAACUUGUGCGUUUUGCCUCAGUUUUCAAAUUUACUGUCAUCGUCUUGGUCAUAUUCUCUGACUUUUUUCAAUCCACUGCGUAUAUAGUCAUGUUUCUGUUUUCAUUAAUAGUGUUACUUGUUUUCUUUUGUUGUUGUUAAGGUGUGUCAGACUCUUAACAGUUUCAUAACCUUUUUAAAGAACCAGUUUGUGGUUUUGUUGAUCUUACAUAUUGUUCUACUCUGUUCCUUAUCUGUUUCAUCAGUUUCUGGUUUUAUCUUUAUUAUUUCCUUUAUCCUUUUUCUUUCUUUUUUUAUUUUAAAGAGGAUAAAACAGAAUAAAACCAAUCAAAACAAACCAGUUUAAGAGAUACAGAACUUCAAAACAUUAUGAAGUCAACAAUAGUUACCAUAAUGCCUUUUGAUGUCUUUGAAAUAGCUGCAAGUAACUUUGGACGUAGUAAAAAUCAAACAGAAUAGAAUAGAAACAAUAAAAGCAAACAAUGAAUACAAUAAAGGAUUUCUAACAAGUCAAUAGUAAUUCCAAAAUGGCUACCAUACUAUAUCUUGCCAUCUUUAAGAUAGCUUCUCCUGCUAUCAGAUUUACCAUAAUCAAACAAAACAAAGAGAAUAAAACUCAAUCCAACAAAACAAUGGAAAUGAUUGAGGACCUCAAAACAAGACCAUAGGGAAUCAACAAUGGCUGCAACCCUCAGAAGGAGAUCCUACUAGAUGCCACACUGUGUACCGGUAUCUUCUGAAUCUAUGAUCAGACCACUGGCCCUAGACCCGCAAUAUUAGUGAAACAUCAAAGCACCACAGGCGUCCAAUUGCAUUUCACCUCCAUAGCUAUUAUCACAGCCUGUGUUUCUCCAGAUAAGUUGGUCACUUAUGAUGGGGUGGGAGUGGGGAUUGGUACUUCUUGUUUGCCAGCCGGCACUGGAAGGGCUGGGAUCUAGCUGUUCCCAGUCCUGUGGUGGCCUGCACGUGGUGUUGGUUUCCAGAUUGGGCUUGCUUGUUGGUGUGGCGUUGUUCUCUCUCCCCCUAGUCCUCCAGUGGUACAGACUCACGGGGAGAGGGACUUAAGUCUAGCUGUUUGCAGUCCUGCGGUGCCCCGUGCGUGGUGCUGGUUUCUAGUUUGGGUUUGUUAGCUGGUGUUCUCUGCCCCCCAAGUUGGCCACUGGUGCUGACUCACGGAGAGAGGCUUGGCUCUAGCUGUUUACAGUCUGGUGGUGGCCUGCAUAUCUUUUUUCCUUUUUCUUUGGUUUAUUAUUUCUGCUAAUUUUUUUGACUUUUUAAGUUUUAUGCUUAGCUCUUUAAUAUUUAAGGCUUUUUAAAGGUUAUACUGCCCCUCAUACGUUUGCCUUAAAGGAAGUGUACAUUUUUAUAACUGACUUUUACUGGCAUCUGCUUGAGGGGGAACCAACUUACUCUUGUAUGUAUUUUCCUCACAAUGAAAAAGAAUCAUCUCAGGUAAUGAUUGUUUCCUGGGACUCCUUAUCAAAAAGAUUCUGUGGAUAUAGAUUUUAGAAGUCUGUUUUAGAAGCUGUGAAGGCAGAGCUAGCAAAGCAAUUGAAAAUUCAUGCAGGCAAAUUAUAAAAUAAUGAGCAUCCAUUUUUCACCCAUCUAUAGUAUCAGUCUAGGGUAAAAUCAUUAGAAUAUAUUCUUGUUAACCCAGCCCUCUACUCCUGCCCCUGAAGAGGCAUGAAAACCAUGCAACUGUUUUGUGUUUUUAAACAAAUAAAGUGAUGUGUUCAUAAUAUUUUAACUCUGCCAUUUGUAGUUGAGUUACUUUGUUAUCUGUGAAAGAUCUUCCACAAAGUAGCCUGUGAAUGUGACAAUAGGAUUGUGAAUCAUUAGGUUAUGGGUUCCAAAUUCUAGAGAGGCAUUUCAAUUCCCAGUACUACCAUCACAGCAAAAAAUAAAAUAAAGUCAUCCAUGAGACAGUUACUUCUUAUUGAUUGGAUUGCUUCAGAAUAUCAUUUAACUUAUUAAUACAUUUAUUACAUGUAAUAUUAAUCUUUACAUGUUUUUCUUUUAGUGAUGAUAUAUUAUGGCAUUACAUUACAUUAACUACUACAGGCCUUCCACAUAAAUUACUUUUGUUUAUGUGUAAAUACAAAUUGAUUUUUACUUACUAUGAUUAUAUGAUUAAUUGAGAAGCCAAAUAACUGCAAAGGUCAAUAAAAUAUUUAAAAGUAGAUAUGAAAACUAGAUAGAGAGAAAGAGAGAGAGAGAGCACAUGUGCAAGAGUUGAUCCUCUGAGUGCUGCAAGUGGCUGUCACCACAUGCUGUUUUGGCUAUUGCUGAGGGUAGAGAGGACUGACAUGCAGGGAAGGCAUGCUCACAGUAUGUAGAAAUGGCAGUGCUCAUAUGAAUUUUGUUUUGCAGUACUGGAGAAUUGAAACCAGGGGUGCACUAUCACUGAGCUACAUCCUCAGCCCUUUUCAUAAUAUUUUUUAUAUUGAGAUCUGCUAAGUUCCCAGUUUGAACGUGAACUUGAGGUCAUCCUGCCUUAGCCUCCUAAUAUGCUGGAGUUACAGAUGUACAGCACCAUGCCCAGCCUUGUAUGAUACUUUUAUUAAUGUUUAAAAACAGAUUUACUUCUCAUUUAACAGGAGGCCAUACAUUACAUAUAAAUAGAAAUUUACUGUAUAAUAAAACCACUGUAUCAUAACUACUACUAAAUGGCAGUCUAUAGAUGUGUUUUGAUAAUCCAUUAUUGAUAAUUUGCUUUUAUCCUGGCCCUUUUGAAGAAGUUUGUGGUGGAAAGUGACACUAGAGUUAUAUUACAUGUUUAGUUGAGUUAGAAAAUGUAUCUGGAUCAACAGAUCAAGGCCGUUUUUAAAGAAGCACUUAGUAUUUUGACUUACCAUCUCCUUUGUGUGCGUGCGUGUGUGCCUGAUGCUAGGCAUUAACCCAGUUCCUUGAAGUUUUUUUAACCAACCCUAGAUCUUUAAAGCAUCUUUAAUUAUUAUAUGUUUUUUCUUAUUAGUGGGUCUAUCCAUACAGUAAGUUUUCCCAAGGGAAGGGGCUAGCGAUCUCUGCUUCUUGAGUGUGUAUUUAUAGUAACCAAUGCUUGCUGUAUGACAAAUUAAGGGAAAUGCUAGUCAGAUGUUUAGUUUUAUCUUCUAAAAUGGAUUGUUUCAAUUAAAGUAUCUUGAAGGGAAUCUCUCUUUUAAAUAAUACAGGCCAAGCAGAUUGUUUUAUUUUAAUUUAGUCAUCUGCCUUUGUAAUGUAAGAAGCCUUAGCUGUAUUGAAAAUGUGACUUGCCUGCCCAGUUGUACCAGACAGUUUGAGAACUGUGUCCUGGGGAGUCUCAUACCUAUUCUUGGCAAACUGAUAGAAUAUCUAGUAAAGGGUAAAAUCUUCAAACACAGGAACUGGGAAUAAUCUUUUGAGGAAAUAGCAUCUGGAUGUCUCUGAGAGGGGAUCCUGUUUCACCAGGCUUUCUUCAAAAGCUGGGUCACAAUGAAGAGACAAACAGGAGAUGAACUGCUCCCUCUAUCUUCGAAAAAUGCAAAUCAGAAUUGUUGCAUGUUUUGAGAGAACAGGCUCCAAAUUUUUAGAAUAUUUUUACUUUUAAUUUUAAUAUGCAAACACAAGAUUUUUUCCUCCAAGGAUGUACAUCAUCUUGACCUUAUUAUUAACCACUGCCCCUUU